UACAGAGGUGGCAAGCGUUGUUCGGAAUUACUGGGCGUAAAGGGCGCGUAGGCGGCUUGCCAAGUCACUUGUGAAAUCUCUGGGCUUAACCCAGAACGGCCAAGUGAAACUGGCAUGCUAGAGUGCAGAAGGGGCAAUCGGAAUUCUUGGUGUAGCGGUGAAAUGCGUAGAUAUCAAGAGGAACACCUGAGGUGAAGACGGGUUGCUGGGCUGACACUGACGCUGAGGCGCGAAAGCCAGGGGAGCAAACGGG
rnacentral:rRNA from 1 species